rnacentral:rRNA from 1 species
UACGGAGGGUGCAAGCGUUAUCCGGAUUCACUGGGUUUAAAGGGUGCGUAGGCGGGUAUAUAAGUCAGUGGUGAAAGCUGCGAGCUUAACUUGGAAACUGCCAUUGAUACUGUAUAUCUUGAAUGUCGUAGAGGUUAGCGGAAUGUUGCAUGUAGCGGUGAAAUGCUUAGAUAUGUUACAGAACACCAAUUGCGAAGGCAGCUAACUAUGCGAUAAUUGACGCUGAGGCACGAAGGUCAGGGGAGCAAACGGG